rnacentral:rRNA from 1 species
AUGCCCCACGGAACACGGGCCAGCUCCAUCGUGCGCGCGCUCAGGGCCUACGCGGUGGACGCCGUCGCCGCCCUCCACUGCGCGUCCCUCAAGUCCGGCGCGGUGCUUGACCCGCCCGUGCGCACCUCGCUCCUCACGGCCUACGCCAGGAGGAGGGGCGACGCGUGUGCCGCCCUGGCGCUGCUCGACGAGGCCGCCCACCCAGACGUGAUCCUGUGGAACGCCACGCUCGAUGCUCUGACACGGAGCUGCCGUCUGGGCGACGCCAUGGUUCUGCUCCGGCGGAUGGCGUGCGUGCUCGGGGCGUUCGAUUCGGCCACCCUGGUCAUCAUGCUGUCGGGGGCGUCACGCGCCAGAGAGAUGGACCUUGGGAUGGCGCACCAUGCUGCGGCCGUGAAGAGGCGCCUCGACACUGACCUAAACCUUCAGAAUGCUCUCGUUGACAUGUACACGAAGUGUGGGCGUUUCUGCGCUACGGAGGCUGUGUUUUGGAGGAUGCCGUGUUGGGACACCACCUCAUGGAAUUCUAUGAUAGGUGGAAGCACGUUCAAUGGACUUUUUGAAGUUUCGGCUUGUUACUUCAGGGAGAUGAUCCGUUUCAUGGUUCAGGCAGAUGAGGUCACCCUGUCUUCUGUCCUUGCAGCAUCUUCUCGCGCAGAUGGUCUUUUCUCCUUUGGGAGGUCCGUCCAUGGCUAUGUGGUCAAGCUUGGUUAUGACGACACUGCGUCUUGCUCGGUGGCGAAUUCUCUUAUAACAUUUUAUUCAGAGCUUGGAUUUACUGAGGACGCAUGGAAUGUCUUUGCAGGCAUUUUGAGUAAAACUUUGGUAUCAUGGAAUGCUAUGAUCAAGGGAUUGGUGGAUAAUGAAAAGGUCAGCGAAGCCCUCUUUGUUUUCCAAGAAAUGAUAUCAGGGUACCAGCCAGAUCGUGCCACUUUGGUGACUGUAAUUUCUGGCUGUGCUGAACAAGGACUACUCUGUGAAGGGAAAGCAAUCCAUGGAUACAUAGUCAGAAAUGGCCUUCUCCAUGAAUCUUCUUCUGUAGGGAACAGCUUACUUGGUUUUUAUAUGAAAUGUGAUGACCCAUUUACUGCUAACCUUCUGUUCAGGACAAUGCCUAUAAGAGACCUGAUCUCAUGGAACACAAUGCUUUCUGGUUACUCAAGAGUUGUCUCACUGGGAGUAGAGGGUCAAGCUAUGUUCAAAGAGCUGCUUUCUGAAGGUUUAAAGUGCACUUUGACCACUAUACUUGCUGUUCUAUCUUCAUGCUCUUGUCCAGAAGACCUUAGCUUUGGCAAAGGAGUUCACUCUGUUAUCCUGAAGUAUGGAUUUGCGAGUGCAGUUUCAGUUGUUAAUGCGUUGAUGCACAUGUACAUAUGCUGGGGGGACACACUGGCUGCCUUAGCGCUGUUGGAAAGAAUAAUGUUGGUAUCAGAUAUUAUUUCAUGGAAUACAGCCAUAGUAGGCUGUGUACAGAAUGGACUACAUGGUGACGCCUUGGAAGCCUUUCGGUUCAUGCAUUCAUCUUUGCCACUAAAUCCUGACAGCAUUACACUAGUUAGUGUUUUAUCAGCAUGUGGAACUCUUAAACUGCACUCCCUAGGAAAGUCCAUCCACUGCAUGUCACUGAAGCACUUGCUUGCAUGCAAUUUGAGGGUGAAGAAUGCCCUGUUAACCAUGUAUUUCCGGUUUGCAGAUACUGAAAGUGCCGAGUCAAUCUUCUAUAGUCCCGGAGAUAUAAAUUUGUGCUCCUGGAAUUGUAUGAUCUCUGGCUUUGCACAGAAUAACGAUGGCUGGAGAGCAUUGCAGUUCUAUCAGAAGAUUGAAGACUUCGUGCCUGAUGAAAUGUGUACAGUCAGUAUCAUCUGUGCUUGCACACAACUAGGGGAUCUUAGAUAUGGAAAGAGCAUACAUGGGCAUGUGGUCAGGUCUGAUCUUCAAAAUAAUUUUUUUUCAGCAUCGCUAGUUGAUAUGUACGGUAAGUGUGGAAGACUCGACGUUGCUGCCAGAGUAUUUGAAUCCUCUGCUGAAAAAUCAGUUGCUUGCUGGAACUCCAUGAUAUCAGCUUUAGGAUUUCAUGGGCAUGGGUUGUGA